CUCUGCUGCGGACACAGCUGCUAGUGCAGCAGAGCCAACAUCCGGCCGUGACACAGGGCCCUAUGACAACUGUAGCUACGCCGCAAGUGACGAGCACAGUCACAGAGGCAGUCCUCAGUGUAUGGGAGAGGACAGACACUAACAACAAAGGACCUUACGAAGAACAACAAGACAGAAACAACAGAGUCACAAGAACCUAACUAAUCAACCACGUCCACUCGUACCUGGAACAAGAAUGUAAAUAUGCUAUCUGAGCACCCACUCCGUGGAACUCGCAUCUCCACGUCUCUGAGUGCUACCCACUUCUCUACAGUCCUGGAUCGUUAGCUCUGGCAUCAGCAUCUGCAAUUUAAAACACCUCCCAACAUUGGGGUGCUCACCACUUAUCAACUACUCUGUCAUGAGCAUUUUUGCUCUGACAUAUGACUGGAAUGCAUCUCUACAAGGUGCAUGGCAGGGGCUGGUGGAGAUUGUGGCCAGGAGGACGACAGAUCAAAACCCAAGUUCUAGAAAGCAGCAGAAAAUUUGUCAUCAUGGCCAUCAACAAACAAAUAUUGCCACUGAAACUUAUUCCCCAUUUUACUUGGGAUUUCUUCCUGCUGAAACUUCUCCUUAUGAGAAGUGAAUCUACAGAUUCAGAAAAAGAGCCCCAUUUAGUAGAAUGUGAGAGGAACAUCAAAAGUUUAGGAUGGAAAAUAACCACAUAAUGUUCUUUGUGAACAUUUGUGCUGUAGAACAGGAAACACUCAGCAAGCAAGAUCUUAAAGUGCCGUACGUCUCCAACAGUUUUGUAGAGUUGAAGACGGCAGAGAAAAGGAAAAGUAAUGGAAGUUCUGCUUCCAGUAAAGGAAAUAAUUGGUCACUGGCUGAUAUGUUAACAUUUUUAAACAAAAUGGAUCACAAGCGAGUAAGUACAUCCAACAUUGAGGCAGAUGAAGUGCAAAGCCCACAAUUUGAUGGUGAACUGAGUAACAGAGAGGUGUGCUAGACAUUGCCAACUUUGUCAGAAAAAGAAAUUUUUUUCUGAAGACGUGGAGGACAUCGCAUCAUUCAGACCACCACAGAGACCGAAACGCCAGCUUAUUAAUGCAUUUAAUGUUGCAAUAAGUGUUAAUUUCAUAUUUUUGUAUUGUGCAAUUUUCAUUUUUUUACACUGUGUGCAUUAUUAAUGAAGCAAUAAAACAUUAACAAAUUUUAUUGUA